GCUGUCGUAGCUCAGUGGAUAGAGCCAUGGCGCGCAGGUUCGAAUCCUGCCGACAGCA
rnacentral:tRNA from 1 species